rnacentral:rRNA from 1 species
AUACGGAGGAUGCGAGCGUUAUCCGGAUUUAUUGGGUUUAAAGGGAGCGUAGGUGGGAUAUUAAGUCAGCUGUGAAAGUUUGGGGCUCAACCUUAAAAUCGCAGUUGAUACUGGUUUCCUUGAGUACGGUACAGGUGGGCGGAAUUCGUGGUGUAGCGGUGAAAUGCUUAGAUAUCACGAAGAACUCCGAUCGCGAAGGCAGCUCACCGGGCCGGAACUGACACUGAUGCUCGAAAGUGCGGGUAUCAAACAGGAUUAGAUACCCUGGUAGUCCGCACAGUAAACGAUGAAUACUCGCUGUUUGCGAUACACUGUAAGCGGCCAAGCGAAAGCGUUAAGUAUUCCACCUGGGGAGUACGCCGGCAACGGUGAAACUCAAAGGAAUUGACGGGG